rnacentral:rRNA from 1 species
UCGACCUGAGCUCAGGCAAGAUUACCCGCUGAACUUAA